CCAUGUUUACUAAAUGCAUAUAAAUCAACAACGUUGAAGAAGUGGCGGAAGAUGAUGUAAGCGCAUGUGUGCGGAUGCGCUCCCAGAAAAAAAUAUUUUUUUUUUAAUUUUCGAAACCUCAGCUACGGCCUGUCGGAUAUGGGCCAUGAGGUGUCAUCCCGGAGUUGAAAAUCUUGUUUGAAAAGAAUCCGGCUUAAUCAUGUAACGUGAGAAAAAUCAACUUGGUAAAUGAGGAAGGCAUAAAUUGUAACACAGCACAGCGGUGCGGUGCAACGACCCGGUAAGCCUGAUGAACUCGUACAAAACAUGUUUGACACAGUCUCACACAAUUCACUCACCCUUUGUAAAUCAAUCAACACGUUUUUCCCGAGGCAAUGCCUAUGUUCAGUUCACAUAGCACGUGAUUUUUAUGACUACAUAUUGUUAUUGUUGGCGCUAGCGCGGAUAUAUUCAAAGUGACACGUCUAAAAAGGUUGUGUCUUUGUGGCAGAGAUAAAGUGGUGUAUAUAAGAUCAUAGAUGGGUCCACGUGGUUUCAGAUUUCUACUGUAGGGUAAAAAGGUUGUGUUCAAGUGACAAAGUUCAAGAUCAAAGAAACAGAUCACGGGUGGAUGUGUUUUUCAAAUAUGGAAUAUUAAAUUUGUGUUUUAGUGGCAAAGAUCAAGCACAACAUACAGAUCAUCGACAAAGGUGUUGUUAGAUCUGGAGCACAAACGGGCUACCAUGGAAACGAACCUCUACAUCUAGGCAGUGAGGCAAAUGGAAAACAAACGUUCAGAUCUACAAAGUUGUACGGCAGAUUCUGGAGUACAAAAUUUGAGUAUAUUUACUUUUUUUUCUUGUUGUCACACUAUAUAUAUAUUUAUUUCUGUUCCUACACAUGCAUUUUUGCAUUU